UACGGAGGGGGCUAGCGUUAUCCGGAAUCAUUGGGCGUAAAGAGCUCGUAGGCGGUUUGUCGCGUCUGCCGUGAAAGUCCGGGGCUCAACCCCGGGUCUGCAGUGGGUACGGGCAGACUAGAGUGCAGUAGGGGAGACUGGAAUUCCUGGUGUAGCGGUGAAAUGCGCAGAUAUCAGGAGGAACACCGAUGGCGAAGGCAGGUCUCUGGGCUGUAACUGACGCUGAGGAGCGAAAGCAUGGGGAGCGAACAGG
rnacentral:misc_RNA from 1 species